rnacentral:rRNA from 1 species
UACGUAGGGGGCUAGCGUUGUCCGGAUUUAUUGGGCGUAAAGAGCGUGUAGGCGGCCAGGUAGGUCUGCUGUGAAAACUCGAGGCUCAACCUCGAGACGUCGGCGGAAACCAUCUGGCUAGAGUCCGGAAGAGGAGAGUGGAAUUCCUGGUGUAGCGGUGAAAUGCGCAGAUAUCAGGAGGAACACCUAUGGCGAAGGCAGCUCGCUGGGACGUUACUGACGCUGAGACGCGAAAGCGUGGGGAGCAAACAGG